ensembl:lncRNA
CCUGGAUCAAAUGACCAGAAAAAUAUUGAUGCCUGGCUUUGGGUGGAGAGUGAAAUUUUAAGUCUCACUUGCUAUUAAAAUCAAAGAAUAAAUUUGUAGAUGGAAAGUUACCCCUGCCUUCCACAGCCUUCUUGGUAACCUUUCAAUUACUAUGACAAUUGUAAACAAACAACUUGAAACAAAUGGUCAAAUCAACAAGACCAGGUUCAUGACCUCUACAGAACUGCAGCAGCUCCCUCUGUUCUGAAAACCACAUGGGGGAAGAUGUUUAAGCUAACUUCAGUGAGAAUGUUCUCUGCUCUUGAGAAAGUCUGUUCUGGAGAAGAUUCAUAUUGGCUUUCAAGACAUUUACAGUGAGUUUUUGGCUGAAAUGACUAAUGUUGAAGUCACGUAAGGAAUGAAUUGUGGAAAGCCUUAUGUUGCUGAUACCUCUGCAAACAUAGUUUUCACAGGUAUGGAGUUACAACACAACCUCAUCGGACUGGAGUGGAAGGAGAAUACGAUGCAUAUCUGCAGGAAGAUGGCAUAAAAGUUUUAAAUUUCCACAACAAUCAGCUCUUAAAAACUUCCUGAAAACUUUGAAGGAAUAUCAGUAUACUGUAGCGCCCUCCUACAAUUCAUGCGGCAGUCCUUCCUGGAUGGAAACAAUUCCUUACUUCCAGGAACUAUGAUUCUGCUUGAACAAAAUUGCUUUUAGUGAAUGAUAGAUGUGAAUCUCCAACUCCUCCUUCAAGCACCUGACAGACAGAACUGCAUAUCAAACCAAGUUAAGCUGAUGAUUUAAACAUUUUGCCUAUCUGGAACUUUAAUUAUCUCAUCAUCUCCUUAUGUUUCAUUAUUAUGAAGCUGCAAGAAAUGACAACAACUAGAGAAGAGUGGCUAUAUAAACCAAAUACAACUUCAAGAACCAAAUUUAAAUGGAUGUAUUAUAUAUCCUAACACUGAAACAAAGCCAGACUAUUUUUUUAUGGCACUGAUUAUAAAUUAAAGUAGACUGAAAAUUUCAGGAGUCAGAUAACCUUUUUCCAUAUGCUUAAGUAAGGGUGUUUACUCCAAAACCAAAGUUUGUAUCCAAAAUUUAAAUGAUGCCACUGGCAUUCAGUAUGAAUUGAGCUGGAGUAGGUUUCAACACAGAAGGAGGAUUUGAAAAGCAGUCAUUUUAUUUUCCUUUCUCUUUUCUUCAUUCUUUAUGAAUUCAGCCAAGAUGUAUUGUAUGUAUCUUUUUCAGUGGCACCCUUUGUUUUGUGGAAAACAGUGAUUUUAGAAAUAUACAAAAAAUAAAUACGUUUAAAAGUUCAGAAAGACAGUUAGUGAUGAUAUUUCUGGCAUGGAGGGAGAAACAAUAUUUUUGUAUCAGACUGCAGUGAAUUAGAGUAAUUAACAUUUUGAGUAAUCUGAUUAUCUUUAUAACUGUACUGAUUCUCAUUAAGAAACAAAAACUAUUCCUGCUUCAAUAUUCUCUACUUCUUGUAUGCUAAGUGAAAAUAAUUUCAUGGGGAGAGACACAGUUCACAUUAAUAUAAAUGUCAGAAACGGUUUAAGUGUUCUGUGCCCUUAAAAUCCUGCAGAAAGUCUUUAGAAGGUUAAAAACAAACAAACCAACCAAAAACCCCUACUGCUACCUAAAUUGUAUGAUAUGGUGAUUUAGUCCUGAUGUACCAAACUCUGCAAAAGUUAUAUAAGAAAACUCACAGUGAAUUUCCAGAAGAUGCCCAAGCAACAAAUAUCCUUCCCCAAGAAUGCAAAAUUGGACCCUUGAGUUUUAAAAAAUCUCUUUGCUUUAGGUUUCUAACAAGAGUAUUCAAAGAGUCAAUGACGGCAUUAAUUUCAUUUUCCAUCCUGAGUUCAGAUUUUAGAUGCUUUUAUGUCU